rnacentral:lncRNA from 1 species
UCUCUCCCUAGGACCGGCUGAGACUGAUCGACCCAUCCUCGCCACUGAAGCAGCGCCAGCUCCUCCUCUCCUGCGCGCAGGAGAAUCUGGAGUAGCCGGCUUUGUCUCCACCCGCACAGAGAACAAUGUCAUCGGCAGUCACCAUGGGGCAGAGACGACCACUGCCACUGCUGCCACCCCUUCUCCCCUCCCCCGCAGCGGCUCCUGGGAGCCCCAGGAAGCCCGACAAGCAAGCCUGGGAGAUGCAGGCCGGAGGUGCCACCGUGUUGGUACCGCUGGGAGAAGCCCUGUCCUUCCUGGCCAGCUUGGUGCCCCACCCACUUGAAGCAGCCUCCUUCCCUGGCGGUUCUUGGGGAUUGGGGAGCCUGUGGCCCCCACGCUGGCCUCUGACAGGUGCCCUCUGUGUAGAAAGAAGCUGCUGGAGACCUCCCUGUCUGGUCAAUUCGUCUCCCUAGCACCCUUGGUCGCUAGGACCAUAGGCUUGUGACAAGCUAUGGGGCUGAAAUGCUUGUUGCUUACAUGAUCAGUAGCCUGGAGAAGUAAUAGAAUGUACACACAUUAUAAUACUUAUUCUUGUGAUUUCAAGGUGAUGAAAGCCUCUCUCUUUCUGGCCUCAAAUUUCUCCUUCUGGACUCAAAUCCCUUCAGUUUUCUAUGGGAGGAUACUUUAGGAGACCAAACCAUAAAGAAAAACAAGUAUGUGAUUGUCAAAAAAACAAAAAAAUGACUGCUCAUCUUUCUGCUACCCCAAUCAGAAAGAGGAGCUGUGAUGUGGUAGAGGGGCACAUGGAGGGCUUCUGAGGGCUGGCGAUGUUCUUUUUUUUUUUUUUACCUGAGUGGUAGUAACAUAGGGUUUCAUUUUACAAUAGGUUAUUAAACUCUACGAUGUUUUGUGCACUUUUAAGGGUGUGUGUAUGUAUUACGCCGUGUUUUAAAA